CCUACGGGUGGCAGCAGUGAGGAAUAUUGGUCAAUGGACGAGAGUCUGAACCAGCCAAGUAGCGUGAAGGAUGACUGCCCUAUGGGUUGUAAACUUCUUUUAUAAAGGAAUAAAACGAGGCACGGGUGCCUUUUUGCAUGUACUUUAUGAAUAAGGAUCGGCUAACUCCGUGCCAGCAGCCGCGGUAAUACGGAGGAUCCGAGCGUUAUCCGGAUUUAUUGGGUUUAAAGGGAGCGUAGAUGGGUUGUUAAGUCAGUUGUGAAAGUUUGCGGCUCAACCGUAAAAUUGCAAUUGAUACUGGCAGUCUUGAGUACAGUUGAGGUAGGCGGAAUUCGUGGUGUAGCGGUGAAAUGCUUAGAUAUCACGAAGAACCCCGAUUGCGAAGGCAGCUCACUAAACUGUGACUGACAUUGAUGCUCGAAAGUGUGGGUAUCAAACAGGAUUAGAUACCCCGGUAGUC
rnacentral:rRNA from 1 species